rnacentral:rRNA from 1 species
UAUUGGGCGUAAGGGCUCGCAGGCGGUUUCUUAAGUCUGAUGUGAAAGCCCCCGGCUCAACCGGGGAGGGUCAUUGGAAACUGGGAAACUUGAGUGCAGAAGAGGAGAGUGGAAUUCCACGUGUAGCGGUGAAAUGCGUAGAGAUGUGGAGGAACACCAGUGGCGAAGGCGACUCUCUGGUCUGUAACUGACGCUGAGGAGCGAAAGCGUGGGGAGCGAACAGGAUUAGAUACCCUGGUAGUCCACGCCGUAAACGAUGAGUGCUAAGUGUUAGGGGGUUUCCGCCCCUUAGUGCUGCAGCUAACGCAUUAAGCACUCCGCCUGGGGAGUACGGUCGCAAGACUGAAACUCAAAGGAAUUGACGGGGGCCCGCACAAGCGGUGGAGCAUGUGGUUUAAUUCAAAGCAACGCGAAGAACCUUACCAUGUCUUGACAUCCUCUGACAUCCCUAGAGAUAUGGCUUUCCCUUCGGGGACAGAGUGACGGGUGGUGCAUGGUUGUCGUCAGCUCGUGUGCUGAGAUGUUGGGUUAAGUCCCGCAACGAGCGUUUCCCUUGAUCUCAUUUGCCCGCAUUCCCUUGGGGGCUCUAAGGUGACUGCCGGUGCAAACCGGAGGACGGAGAGGAUGACACACUUCCUACUGUCCCUUACGAGCCUGGGCUACCACGUGUCUA